CUGAAGUAGCAGGCUAAGUAACAGUUAGUGGUUUCUAAGAAAAAUGACUCACGGUUUGGUCAGGAGUCAGUUCAAGAGUCCGCUCUGAACGCUCUGAAGUCUGAUUCAAACCGCCUCACUCACGAGUCACGAGCGAGAUCGAGGCUGCCUUGUAAAUCUUUGACUGACUCAUUAAAAAGAACCGGUUUCAAAGAGUCAUUUGUUCGCCAGUCGGACAUCGCGGCUCGCUCUGUGUUCGUUGUUGCGCGCAGGAAACUCUGACACGUGUUCUAACGAGAUGACAUCUGAUGAAAACGCGCGUGGAUGCAGGCUCCUGCGCAUGCAAGGCUAUUUCCUCAAGACUCAUUAGAUGCUGCCCCAUGCAUUUCUACCAGAAGUAGGCAGUUUUGCUUGGAUUUUUUUUAUUUUUUAUGAUGGGGGCUUUCACACAGGCUGGUGAAAAUGCAACCAUAAACUCCACAUCUCCGCGCAGUUUCUCCUUCGCUGGAAGGCAUGAAUCCAGAGAAAUACUGAGAUGAGACACACUGGUCCAAUGUAGCAGUUUUUUGCCAGUGCUUAUUGAGAAGCAUCAUGCACUGAAAAUGAAUCGUGGUUGGAACAGUGACGUUCAGUCAGUGCUACACAGUUGAUUCAGCUUACGUGGGCGUGAUGCCGCUUUCCCACAUGCAGAUAUCAGCUGUGUCAUUUCAAACCUGUUUUUAAUCAGCAUAACCACGAGCUGCUGCCAGGAGGCGGGACACAAGCUGCAGUUUGUGUGAAUUUCCGUGAAUAGCUCGAGUCGCUUGGCAGGUUGAUUAACAAAGCCUUCGGGUUGAGAGGGAGCUUGUUCUGACCUGUCACAGGAUUCUUGGGCAAAGAUAAGAUUAGUUCAAUUCCUCAUCUGUUACCUAUUGUGGUUUAGAUGACAAGUGAAUUAAAAGUUAAUUCCACUUUCUAAAGAAACUUGAUUCUUCAAGGUGCAAAGCAGGCUGUAAGAGAUGUUCAGCCAUUCUUUAAUGUCAAGUGUGCUAUUCAACACGGCAGGAAAACUCCAUCCAUUCACUCUUAAUAACUGUCUAAUUGUGAAUGAUUCAUUGGUGCAUGUUAUUCAAAAGAAAAACUGUUUGCCUUUCUAAUCUUUUAUCAGAAUGUAACAACUUGCUCCACCUUGACCUGUCUUUCCAAUUUGGCUGACAUCAUUUAGGAUGCCAAGCUGUUGGACAAUGUUAACCAACAGCCAAAUAAUAAAACCAAGUCUUGACCUAGAUUUUUUUUUUUUUACUUAAUAAAUAUCCCUUUCACUUGGAAAUGCAUUACAUUAUGAAAGUAAAUAGUUUGCAAACAAGCUUGUUCUUGUCUUAUUGCCUUUUAGUUACAAGAGCAAAUACAUUUUUUUUAUACUGCCAUUUGUCUAUUUUUUUUAGCCUGAUUUGCAAAAUGUAUUAUACCAUUGUUGUCCUAUUUAAUUGCUGAA